rnacentral:lncRNA from 1 species
UUUAAAUCAAAAUUCGGAAGCAUUAUCCGAAGGAGUCACCGAUCUGAUCCGAGGUACGCCCCGCGUACUCGAGUACGCCCCGCGUACUCCGAGGGAUGUCGACACUCGCACUCGAGCACUUCGGAUACGUAAGCAAUGACGUUUUGGGCAGUACGCCCCGCGUAACGCAGUACGCCCCGCGUACUCCGAGGCUCCAGCCUCCUAUAAAUAGGAUGCGAGGGUUCCGGGUAUUUUUGCCAAUUCCCUCUCGUUUUCGUGUCGAAGCUCUGUGCAAAAACCCCCGAAGCUACCCCGAAGUCCCGGUAUCAUACUCUAGCCCCGAGGCAAGUCCCGAGAUCCCGAAGAUCCCGAAAAGUGCGGUUCCCGAGUCGAAGCUCUGCCCGCGAGAAGUUCGAUUUUCGAGAAGAUCUUCCAGAUCUGCUGUGGAUUACUACUUCUAUAAGCCGUAGUGCUGUCCGAUCAUCUUCUGAUCAAGUGAGUGUGUAGUUAUUUCUUCUAAUACAAUAAUACGAAGUAUUUUAUAUAAAAAUACGUGCUAUGUGUAUAUAUUUGGUUGUGUUAUGUGUGAAUGAGUAUUCACUCUCUUCUAUCUUAUAGAUCUGCUUAUUUCUUUAUGAGAUAUGUGUUAUGUGUGUGUGUGCCUCAUCUGUUAUGUGAUAUAUGUGUUGAUUAAAGCAUGCUAUACAGGUUUUCUUUAAACUAUGUAUACAAAUGUAUAUUUUUAUCUACUAAUAUGUUGGGUAGAACAUGGGUAGACAGUUGGUGUGUAAUAAACAGAUGAGAGGCCUCGUUGUUGUUUGAUUGAGUCAUCUAGCGGAGUUUAGAUGACGACCACUGGCUAUUCUAGACAGUCUUGUGGAAACAUUAGCAGGUUCGCCACCUGUAGGUGUUAAUGAACUUGGGUGUUCAUUCGCUGUACUCCAUCCCCCUCAUGGUUGCCUUAUUUGACUUAUAUUGCUGAGGUACCCCCGAAGCAUGUGUUGUCGCCCCGAUGAAAUAUUCUUAGACUAGGUCCCUUAUGUUAGUUGUUUUAGGGACAUUAAAGUGAGAAUAACGGGAAUGGGUAAUUGGGUUAUUGUUGGUUGGUGAAAAUUAAAUAUGAUAUUUAUUGUGGGUUGAAAACCCUAUAUGCUCACCAGGCUCCCAAGCCUGACCCACUCAGUUUUAAAUUGUAUUACAGGUAGUGGCGGAAGGGCAUGAGAUGGAUGAACCAUCAAGUUGUUUUGUUUACAAGUCUGCAUAUGUUUAUAUUUGUUAUAUGACUUGUAAUGUAUUCGUUUAUGCUUAUUGGUCUGUAUCGGAACAUGACACCCCGAGUUUUGAUUAUAAUGAAAAUACAUUUCUUUUAUGAAAUGCUUCGGUAAACAAUGUUUUAUCAUGUUUUGUUUUUGGGAACAAAUUCCGCAACUCUUUCAAAUCAAAAGGAUUUACUCUGAAAAUAUUUAAAAGCAUAAAUGAAAAUCGGUCUUUUCUGGCCGAGAUUUUGGGGAUGUCACAGUUGGUAUCAGAGCAUUAGUUUAAGCGAACUAGGAAUUUGUAGGAUUUCUAGACUUAAACUUAGAAUGCUAAGUGAAGUUUUGAGAUGUGUGUCUGUUGUGUUUUAGACACGAGCACUAGUUUAUUUUAGGAAAGUUGCCUAAAAUGCUUUAUGUGCUAAAUGUUAUAUGUUGCCAUAUAUGAUAUUAUUUGUUCGGAUCUAUGGUCUGUUGCCGACCGGAUCUAGAAACCUUAUGUGUGUAGGAUUCUAAGCGUACGUCUACGAUAUUAGAACUAGCAUGUAAACGUUUCGGAGUGAUAAGGAUGAUUUGAAUAUCUAUCAUGAUUGAGGAUCUAAUUUCACCUUAUUCGGGGUGUAGAUCAAAAUGGUGAGAACAAGAAGUGGAGUUGGAAAUGCUGACGAAAACAGGAAUCAACCACCAGUGAUUGAGCCAAUACCUGUCGUAGCAGCAGCACCUGAGCCAAUAACCAUGGCUGGUGUGCAAUUGAUGAUUCAGACGAUGUUGGAUCGUCAGAUGGAUGAAACUAGACGGUUGCUUCAACAAAAUCGUGAAGAACUGUCGAUUCGUGUGGAAGAGCCUGAACUGAAUGAAGGGCACUCGGAAGGUGGAAACUUCAGUGGGUCUGUUGGUCCAGCCAACCCACCGAUAGUUAGGCAAGAUAACCAUGAUGGAAGGAAUGAUGGAAUGGGAUGCAAGUACAAGGACUUUUUGACUUGUAAACCAUCGACCUUCAAUGGAAAGGAGGAUCCGAUUGGGGUUAUGGAUUGGAUCUCCGAAAUGGAGUUAGCCUUUAUGACAUGUGGCUGUAGAGGCAAGUUGCAGACUAUCUAUGCCGUGCGACAAUUCCGAGGUGGAGCCGUUCGUUGGUGGAACACUCUAGGGAAGACCUUAAGCCCUAAUGAGCCACUGCAAUUGUCAUGGGCAGAGUUCUUGGUGCAGUUCAAGCGCAAGUUCUGCUCGGCUCAAAAUCUGUUGGAGUUGGAGAAUAAGUUUUUGACAUUGACGAAGGGUAGCAUGUCAGUUGAUGAAUACACCAAUAACUUCACCGAUAAGAUGGAGUUUGCCUUGCGUAUCGUUCCAGACGAGCUGACAAAGGUGGAUCGGUAUGCGAAGGGACUUCCAUGGGAGUACGAGGUGCCAGUACGUCAGGCACUUACUCUAGAGGCAGCUAUCUGGGCUGCCAAGUCUGUGGAGAACAUGAUCAAGGGGAGAACCACCGUCAAGGUUGAGGUUGGUGAGAAAAGGAAGUUUGAAGGAACAUCUGGUUCCAGUAAGAAGAGCAAAUUUUCGAAAUCUGAUUCGAAAAAGUUUGGAGGAAAAGGAGGCGAAGCGAAGUGGUGUGAUAAGUGUAAGAAAAAGCACUUUGGGAAAUGUAGCGAGGAUGUGACCUGCUACAAGUGUGGAAAGGUUGGACAUUUUGCCAAUGAAUGUCCGAACAACAAAAGGAUGUGUUUUGGUUGUAAUGAAGAGGGGCAUAUUUUGAAAGACUGUCCGAAGAAGAAGGAGGCAGCUAGGCCCAACAUUCCACCAAAGCCGAAGGCGAGAGCCUUCCAGAUGACACUUGAGGCUGCGAAAGAUGAAGCUGAUGUCGCUUCAGGUACCUUUCUCGUAAACGAAUUACCUGCUCAUAUAUUGUUUGAUUCUGGAGCCAACUACUCCUUUAUUUCGCAUGAGUUUGGUAGAAAGCUAGCUUUGCCUGUUGAUAGACUAAAUAAUGCUUUAUUAGUCGAAGUAGCUAGUGGCAAGUUUGUACCUGUUAGCCAUCGUAUGAAAAACGUCUUGAUCGACCUUAAUGGGAAUAAGUUUCUCGAGGAAUUAUUGCCUAUCGAACUAAAUGGUUUCGACAUCGUCUUGGGAAUGGAUUGGCUUAGCGCCAAUGAUGCCGAAAUUUUGUGCAAGAAGAAGAUAGUUAAAGUAAACCCGCCUGGGAAAGAUUCGUUUAUGGUGUAUGGGGACAAACGCAGAGUGAAUUCUGGAAUCAUUUCUCUAAUGAAAGCCAGAAAGUGUUUGACCAAGGGAUGUACAUCAUAUUUAGCAUUCGUGAUUGAUGCUAAGAAAGAAAAGAAGGUGAUGCAGAGUAUUCCAGUGGUGUGUGAUUAUCCGGAAGUAUUUCCCGAGGAUCUUCCUGGAUUACCACCUGAUAGACAAGUGGAGUUCAGAAUAGACUUGUUACCAGGAACCACGCCAAUAGCAAAAGCACCUUAUCGAUUAGCACCGACGGAGAUGAAGGAGCUAAUGAUGCAACUUCAGGAGUUAUUGGACAAAGGUUUCAUUAGACCUAGUUCAUCGCCCUGGGGAGCUCCGGUGUUAUUUGUAAAGAAGAAAGAUGGAAGUAUGAGAAUGUGCAUCGAUUACAGAGAGCUGAACAAGGCAACAAUAAAGAAUAGAUAUCCGUUGCCGAGGAUUGAUGACCUGUUUGAUCAAUUGCAAGGUUCGAGCUAUUUCUCGAAGAUCGAUCUUAGGUCAGGAUAUCAUCAGCUGAAAGUAAGAGAGCAAGAUAUCGAGAAGACUGCAUUCAGAACUAGAUAUGGACACUACGAGUUCUUGGUUAUGUCGUUUGGACUAACCAAUGCUCCAGCAGCGUUCAUGGAUUUGAUGAAUAGGGUUUGUAACCCGUUCCUUGAUAAAUCCGUGAUAGUGUUCAUAGACGACAUUCUGAUUUACUCGAAAAGCCAGGAGGAGCAUGGCAGACACUUGCGAGAAGUGUUAGAAGUCUUGAAGAAGGAGAAGCUGUAUGCUAAGUUCUCCAAAUGUGAUUUUUGGAUUCGUGAAGUCCAAUUCUUGGGUCACGUGGUCAACCAAGAAGGGAUAAUGGUUGAUCCAGCGAAGAUCGAAGCUGUGACGAAGUGGGAACAACCGAAAAGUCCCACGGAGAUUCGAAGCUUUUUAGGAUUAGCCGGAUAUUACCGAAGGUUUAUCCAAGGCUUUUCUUCGAUUGCUACUCCAUUGACAGCUUUGACCCACAAAGGAGCUACUUAUGCUUGGAGUGAGAAGCAUAAAGAAGCAUUCGAGAAGUUAAAGAAGAAGCUAUGCGAGGCACCGAUACUUUCUCUACCCGAUGGAGUUGAAGACUUCGCUGUUUAUAGCGAUGCGUCUGGUGUUGGAUUGGGUUGUGUUUUGACCCAAAGAGAAAAGGUGAUAGCAUAUGCGUCUCGACAGCUGAAAGAGCAUGAAAAGAAUUACCCGACUCAUGAUUUGGAGUUGGCAGCGGUAGUUUUCGCUCUGAAAAUAUGGAGGCAUUACCUCUAUGGCACGAAGUGCAAACUUUUCACUGAUCAUAAGAGUCUCCAAUACCUCUUUAAUCAGAAAGAAUUGAAUAUGAGGCAACGACGCUGGCUAGAAUUACUUAAAGACUAUGACUGCGAGAUACUUUACCACCCCGGUAAAGCUAAUGUUGUUGCUGAUGCUCUCAGUCGGAAAGUCAAUCCCGAAAGGAAAAGGCCAAGAGCGUUGAGAAUUGAAGUUGUCUCAACUAUUUUGGAAAGUAUAAAGAAAGCUCAGAGCGAAGCUUCUGAGAAGAAUGACAGAAAGGAGGAACGUUUGGGCAAAACGUUGGUGUUCGGUGUAAACAGUCAUGGACUGAAGGUGUUCCAAGAUCGGAUUUGGAUACCUAAGACAGGAGGAGUCAGAGAUCUUCUGAUGGAAGAAGCUCACAAGACCAUGUACUCGAUUCAUCCGGGUAGCACUAAAAUGUAUAGGGACCUGAAACCCUACUACUGGUGGCCGACGAUGAAGCUUGAUGUUGCAAAGUAUGUGGCCGAGUGUGUGACUUGUGCGAGAGUCAAGACACAACAUCAGAAACCGUACGGGAGUUUAGAACCUUUGCCUGUGCCUAUGGGUAAGUGGGAAGACAUUGCUAUGGAUUUUGUCACUAAACUGCCCAGAACAAAGAAUGGUCACGACAUGAUUUGGGUGGUCGUUGAUCGAUUCACUAAGAGUGCGCAUUUCAUAGCGGCCAGGGAGAAAUGGUCUAUGGAAAAGCUUGCGAAUUCUUACGUGAAGGAAAUUGUGAGGCUUCACGGUGUUCCGUUAACGAUUGUAUCGGAUCGUGAUAGCCGUUUCACCUCAAGGUUUUGGAAAAGUCUACAAGAGGAAAUGGGUACCAAGUUAUGUUUAAGCACAGCUUACCAUCCGCAGACUGAUGGUCAGAGUGAAAGAACAAUACAAACACUUGAAGAUAUGCUGAGAGCAUGUACCUUGGAAUUCCUAGGUAAUUGGGAUGAACAUUUACCGUUGGUAGAAUUUUCCUAUAAUAAUAGUUUUCACUCGAGCAUUAAGAUGGCACCUUACCAAGCUUUGUAUGGACAGAAGUGUCGUACGCCGUCUUGUUGGCUUGAGGCUGGGGAAAAGCAGUUUAUGGGACCGGAGAUGGUUCAUCAAACUGCUGAAAAGUUGAAAAUAAUUAGGGAAAGAAUGUUAGCAGCUCAAGAUCGUCAAAAGAGCUAUGCUGACAAGAAGCGAAGACCGAUGACUUUUGAGGUUGGAGAUUCGGUUUUGCUUAAAGUCUCGCCGUGGAAGGGACUUAUAAGAUUUGGUAAAAGGGGAAAGUUGAGUCCAAGGUUUAUUGGACCGUUUAAAGUCCUUCAGAGGAUUGGGAAUCAAGCUUACAAGCUCGAAUUACCCGAAGAACUGAAUGGAAUUCACAACACCUUUCAUGUGUGUUAUUUGAGGAAGUUCACGGGAGAAGUUCCCGAUAUAAUUCCAAUUUCUGAAUUGAGAAUUGAUGAGAACAAAAGGUUGAUUGAAGAACCAGAGGCAAUUGUUGACCGAAAGACUAAGAAGUUGCGACGCAAAAUGGUUGGGUUAGUGCUUGUCCGAUGGAAACACACGAAUGGGCCGAAUCUCACCUGGGAGACGGAGAGUGACAUGUUGAGUCGCUAUCCGCAUUUGUUUGUUGAUGUGUGAUUCCGGGGACGGAAUCAUUCUAAGGUGGAGAGAAUUGUAACGCCUGUGUUUCCGGGCUUGCCAUUUUUAGCAAUGUAAUAGUCUAGGUUAACCUUUGUAACCCGUUUUGAAAUAAUAAGAUUGUAUUAUUUGAGUAUUAUGUGUUUUGUGCUUAAUUGCUUAAUUAUGUGGUUUGAUUAAUUAAGAAUAAAAAUAAGCGUCAAAAUUUAAGUGUAAAAUAAACUUAAUAUCUUUGGUUAAUGUUGUAGUAGUUGAAACGAGGUUUCCGAAUAUAUAUAGAACGCCCAAAUCUGACUUCGUAUGAGGAAGUUAUGAUUUAUCGAAGUUCCGGCUUAGCGGUAUACAGCCUGUUUUACUCGAUUUGAGAUCGAGCGGUUGUUAGCCGAAGCAAUCUAAAUGAGAAUCGAAGAUCUCAUUGUUGGUAUCGAAGCGAUAAAAAGUUAGGCGAGAACGGACGUCAAACGAAGAAGUUAUGAAUUUAUAACGAAAGUUUCUGUCGCGGCCUAUUAAAAAUAAUUAAUAAAAAUAAAGUCAAAAUUAGCCGACGGAGUCUAAACGAAAGUUGUAGAGCGUAGUCUCACCUUCGCGUGGAUAUAAAGAACGUCGAAAACGGAGUUCGUAUGAAGAAGUUAUGAAUUUCCGAAGUUUAUUAAUCAUUUUGUAUUUAUUUUUAAAUCAAAAUCGGAGGCAUUAUCCGAAGCCGAGUCACCCGUCUGAUCCAAGGUACGCCCCGCGUACGUGAGUACGCUAUCGCGUACUCCGCAUAGUGUCGACACUUCGGAUGACGCAUGCAAUGACGAUUUCGGACGCGUACGCGCUGCGUACGGCAGUACGCCCCGCGUACUCCGAGGCUCCAGCCUCUAUAUAAAGGAUCCGAAGGCAGCCUCAUUUGUUGUUCAAUUUCUUCUCUUCUCUCUAGUCUUUUGCAUCGUUUUUCGUGCCGAAGCUACCCCGAAGCCCCGGUAUCAUACUCUAGCCCCGAGGCAAGUCCCGAGACCCCGAAGAUCCCGAGAAGCGCGGUUCCCGAGUCGAAGCUCUGCCCGCGAGAAGUUCGAUUUUCGAGGAGAUCUUCCAGAUCUGCUGAGGAAUACUACUUCU